UUAAGUAGAUCUCAUGAAGUGAAUAUAUUUCAGAGUUUGUUUGUUAGUAACAAGAGCCAAGAUGAAGACUCAGUUAGUGUUGGUGGCAGUUCUGGCCUUCCUGUUGGUGGUGACCCACGCUGCUCCAGCGAGUGGCCCCGUCGACCUGUUCUCGUCCUUGGCGGAGUCUCGGGUAGAGAGGGCAGCCCACAGGUGUUGCGCAUGCCCAAUCAUCCGUGAAACAACUAAAAUAACCAUCAUCAGAGAAACGAGAUUCCCAACUCGCUCUGGGUUUGGAAGCCAGUGCUGUCCUUGUUGAUCCCCUUUCUGAAGUGUCUAUGCUGUCUACAACUGACGGGGCCACUUGGUACUGGACUAUGAUAAUCUAUAUUGAGACUUGUGAAGAAGAUAGACGUAAUUUCAUCUCACGGAAUAGGACGGAUGAUCGUCUAACUGACAGCCCUCCUGGACCUCUCGUUAAUAUUUUCUAUCAGUUUUGCCCUAUUAGUAAACUUGUUAGCUAAUCAUGUAAAAUAAAAAUUUAGGUAAACUAUA